UACGGAGGGUGCAAGCGUUAUCCGGAUUCACUGGGUUUAAAGGGUGCGUAGGUGGGCUGGUAAGUCAGUGGUGAAAUCUCCGAGCUUAACUUGGAAACUGCCAUUGAUACUAUUAGUCUUGAAUUCUGUUGAGGUAGGCGGAAUAAGUCAUGUAGCGGUGAAAUGCUUAGAUAUGACUUAGAACACCAAUUGCGAAGGCAGCUUGCUAAACAGAUAUUGACGCUGAGGCACGAAAGCGUGGGGAUCAAACAGG
rnacentral:rRNA from 1 species